UUUUCCAGUCCCAUUCUUUUA
ensembl:piRNA 21ur-8050 ncRNA